rnacentral:misc_RNA from 1 species
AUUUAUUCUGCUACCAAGUUACAUAGAAAUGGCCUCAUAGAACUGGGCUUGCUUUGUUUUAAUCAUUCCUGCUGCCAAUUACAAAAUGUACAAAAGAAGCAUUUAUAAUUAAUCAGAUAUAAUAUAUCCAUCAGAAAUGCCAAGAAGUCACCAGGCACUGGCUUAGCAUGCGGCCUUCAAUUUGGUUAUCCAAACCUUCGCUAUGGAAUGAAUCUGGGUUGUUAUCUUGACCCUGCACUGGCUCAGCUUUGAUCCAAGAUUUGCAAGUUGUCAUCAGGCACUCCUUUUAAGCAUCUCCUUUUGCCUCUUGAUGGAGAGCUGCUUCUG